CACGUAGGGUGCGAGCGUUGUCCGGAAUUAUUGGGCGUAAAGAGCUCGUAGGCGGUGUGUCGCGUCGGCCGUGAAAACCUGCAGCUUAACUGUGGGCUUGCGGUCGAUACGGGCAUCACUGGAGUUCGGUAGGGAGGACUGGAAUUGCCUGGUGUAGCGGUGAAAUGCGGCAGAAUAUCAGGAGGAACACCGGUGGCGAAAGG
rnacentral:rRNA from 1 species